GUGGGGAAUAUUGGGCAAUGGGCGAAAGCCUGACCCAGCAACGCCGCGUGAAGGAAGAAGGUUUUCGGAUCGUAAACUUCUAUCCUUGGUGAAGAUAAUGACGGUAGCCAAGAAGGAAGCCCCGGCUAACUACGUGCCAGCAGCCGCGGUAAUACGUAGGGGGCAAGCGUUGUCCGGAAUGAUUGGGCGUAAAGGGCGCGUAGGCGGCCUGGUAAGUCUGGAGUGAAAGUCCUGCUGUUAAGGUGGGAAUUGCUUUGGAUACUGUCGGGCUUGAGUGCAGGAGAGGUAAGCGGAAUUCCCGGUGUAGCGGUGAAAUGCGUAGAGAUCGGGAGGAACACCAGUGGCGAAGGCGGCUUACUGGACUGUAACUGACGCUGAGGCGCGAAAGUGUGGGGAGCAAACAGGAUUAGAAACCCCUGUAGUCC
rnacentral:rRNA from 1 species